GGUGGGUCCUUAGUGCUGCUCAGGGUUGCAUGCAUUGCCCUAGUUUACGGGUCCCUAAUGUUGCCCAGGGUUGCAUGCAUUUCUGUAGUUUAUCUAACUCCCAGCCUCCUGAGUAUUGUAUACUUUCUCUUCUCGCCUCAGACCUGCAGCACCUUCCUAUUCUCACUCUAUAGAUGACCUUGGCUCCUACCUUACUGUCUAGUUUUACAGAAAGCUGAAACAGUCUGAAGAGAACAUCCACAGGUGCACACGGCUGAAUCGACCCGAUACUUGUACCUGUGUCCAGCCUGCUGUCCUGUUAACUCAGGUUAUUCCCAGCAGCCUACAAAUAUGCAUCACUUCUUCUGUGGAAAACAACAGCAACACGAUUCUUCACUCUGGGAGACCAGCUGCAUGUCCAGAAGACACUUGAGAAGCCCUGUGAAGAAGUCCAUGUGGGGAGAAGCCGAGGCCUCUUGCUCACAGCCAGUGAGGAGUUGAGGCCACAAGAGUGAAAGUGGGUCCUCCCACCCAACUCUAGCCUUCAGAUGAUGCAGCCCCAGCUGCCAUCUUGACGGCAGCCUCACGAGAGCUGUGCAGUAGAACCACCCAGCUAAGGUGCCAGAACACCUGCCUUACAGGAACUGCAAUAGAAGACAUGCUUGCUAUUUUACACUGCUAAGUUUUAUGAGUCUGGUAAAGUCCCUGCCACCUGAAAGAAGCUUCGUCUAUCUUUGUUGAGUGAGAGAAUGAUGCAGAACAAAGUGCAUGAGAGAGAGUUCUCGCUUCUUGGACCAAGUCACCGUAGGAUUCCCAUAGUUGUUUGGGGAAUGGAGCAAAGAGCAGAACUGAGUCCUGGAAGCUGGGAUGGCUCCUGGAUGGCUCGGCAUUGGAGUCUUGGCUCUCUAUAUAUUUCAUAUAGUAUUUAAAGGGAUUUUGUGGAAAUCUAAGUUUAAUGCGUGUGUGUGUGUUUCUUAAAAUAGAUGACGUCUUCACUCAAUGGUAGAACAAGCCCCAGUGGGGGCAUUGGCAUAACUAUAACUUCAACUCGGAGACAGAGAGAGAGGAAUGCAUCCCCGCUUGGAGGAAAAUCCGCUAAUUUUGUAUAAGCAGGUCUUAUUCAGCAAUCUCUGAGCUUCUUGCUUAGGAAACCAGAUUUCAAACUGCGAUUUUGUUUUCUAGUCCCUCAUGCACAUAUAUAUGGGUUACUUAUAAGCAUGCAGGGAGUGAAUGCUAGGACACUAUAGAUUGCCAAAAUGCACUUACUCGAUUUUUCUAAUGGCAUCAAAGUGGCAGCUUGACCCAAGAUCCCAGGACUUGCUCAGCAGGAAGAACAGAGACUGGCCUUUGGUAAUUCUUUGACUCAGAUGUAAGUCACUGAUUCUUGGGUGAAAGAGUCUUAUUUUUUUUCUAACAUAUUAAUCAAUUGUCUUUCACUAAAAGAUAUUGAUCUAAUGAAAAAGAAAUAGAAAUUGAUCCUGAUC
rnacentral:lncRNA from 1 species